ensembl:lncRNA
UAUAUAUAUAUAUAUAUACCUACAUACAUAUAUAUCUCAUUGUGGACAUGAUGAUUUAUUUAAAUGCAAAAAAACAAAACAAAAAAACUACAUGGAAAGAAAAACUUGAACGUGCUAAUAUUUGGGUUGAAGUCCUUUUGAACUGCCGCCCCACUAAACAGCAUGCAUCUUUAGACAGACACAGCAACAACAGCAGCAGCAGUACAUCAAACAGGAUGUGCUCUCUAAUACAACAUUUUUAGUUGGAAAGACGAAGCUGUAAAUAUGUUUAAAGGUCUUUCCAGAAUUCACAUUUACAGAUUAAAAAGUUGCAGGUUAGAAUGGUACUGUGGUGGCCUUGGUCCCCUCAAACCCAUCCAGGGUCUAGUUGCACAUACUCAUCUUUAACAGUGUCAAUCUUCCAUGCACAUAUGAGGCCACAUAUGACCUCUCUUUAUUUUCCUACUCUAAUGCUAGUUUGUACAAGCACACUAUAGUAGAUUUCAAUCACUUGUUAAAACUAAUUUCAGUGGUUAGAGGGACAAAUAAACGAUCCUUAGAAAUAUAUACAAUAUUUUUGUCAAAUCCUUACAGAGAUUAUAUAGUGUAUAUAAUUACAGAAAAUGCAGACAGGCAGGAAAAACAUACAGAAACAGUAAUUCAGCAAUAGCGUCUUGGUUUUAAACCCUGAUCCGAGUAUUAGGGCACAUUCUAACAGUUCACUUAGGUAAACUUUGGGGCGGCAGAAUAUUUCCCACUAUCUCAGGCUUGGACGGUAGCGAUCCUGUCCUUUUUCAGCUUAAAUUAAGUCCUAUUCCUUUAAAUUGUCGGUGUCUGUUGAAGCUAUGGAGGGAUGGGCGAGUUGGGAGAAUUUGCACUUUUGCUGAUGAAAAGAAUUUGUAUUGUAUAUGAGACCACUAAAUGUGCAUUGUCUAAAUCAUGUAAUUCCAUUUUUCCUCCGGUUUUUGGUUCCAUUUUAUUCUGUUGGGUUUCAAUUUUGUUUUGUUUGUUUAUUUUUAUGAAAUAUAUCCAAAAAUGUCUGGUGUCCUGGUUUAAGAAAUAAGAUCUUUCUAUUAAAAAAAAGAAAAGAAAUGUUUAUGAUUUCUCUGUCUCAGUAUAUUUUAUCAUUGCCAGCAGAUGCUAUUUAAAUAUACACUCACCGUCCACUUAAUUAGGAGCACCUGUAAAUCUGUACAUUCAUGCAAUUAUCUAAUCAGCCAAUCAUGCAGCAGCAGCGCAAUGCAAAAAAAAAAUCAUUCCGACACGGUUCAAGAGCUUCAGUUAAUGUUUACAUCAGACAUCAAUAAAAAUGGUUGUUGGUAACAGAAGGGCUGGUAUGAGUCUGGUCAUUCUCUGAUCAGUCUGAAGUGUUUUAUCCUCCAAACCUCUGCUCACAGGAUUGUUUUUUUUGUUGUUGUUUUCACGCCAUUCUAUAUAAACUCCGGAGACCGUUGUGUAUGAAAAUCUGUUUAUAAAAAAACUCAAACCAGCCCUUCUGGUACCAACAUCCAUGCCAUGAUCCAAGUCACAGAGAUCACACGUCUUCCCAUUCUGAUGUUUGAUUUGAACAUUAACUGAAGCUCUUGACCAGUAUUUGCAUGAUUUUUUUUUUUUUUUGCAUUACGCUGCUGCCACGUGAUUGGCUCAUUAGAUAACUGCAUGAAUGUGCAGGUGUAUAGGUGUUCCUACUAAAGUGGACUGUGAGUGUAAGCUUACAGGUCAGUAAUAGAAGUCAAACAGAUUAAUCAAGCAUACUUGGAAGUGGUAUGGUGGUGUGGUUCCAGAGUUUCUGAUUCGAUCCUGAGAUUGGAUUACUGUCAUAGCUUUUUGUGAGUUUUGCAUAUUCUCCCUAUUCAAUUCUAUAUUAUUUAUGCACUUUUUAUAAUGCCCAUUGUCUCAAAGCAGCUUUACAGAAAUCUGGAUAUGGAUUUACAUUUAAUCCCUAAUGAGCAAGCCAGAGACAAUAGUGGCAAAAACUCCCUGAGAUGACAUGAGGACAUGUUUGUGUGGGUUUCCUCCGGGUUUUCCGAGUUCCUUCCACAACCCAAAAACAUGCCAACAGGUGGACUGGCUAUGCUAAAUUGCCCCAGGUGUGAAUUAAACUAUACAGCCAAAAGUAUGUGGACACCGGACCAUCACACCCAUAUGUAUGUAUUCCCCAAAUUAUUGCCACAAAGUUGGAAACACACAGUUGUAUAGGAUGACUUUGUAUGCUGUAGCAUUACAAUUUUUCUUCACUAGAAUUAAACAUAUUUGGGGCCCAAACAUAUUCCAGUAUGACAAUGCUCCUGCACAAAAUGGGCUCCAUGAACACAGGUUUACCAAGGGUUGUAGUGGAUGAACUUGAGUGGCCUGCACAGACCCCUGACCACAACCUCACUACACACCUCUAGGGAUGAACGGGAACGACAUUUGCACCCCAGGCCUCCUCACCCAACCUCACUAAUGGUCUUGUGGCUGAACGGGUAAAUCCCCAAUGCCAUGCUCCAAGAGCUAAUGGAAAGCUUUUAUAGAAGAGUGGACCUUAUUGUAACAGCAAAGGGGGAUUAAAUCUGAAAUGGGAUGUUCAAAACCACAUACAGUCCCCUCCUACAGUACUGAAACGGCUAUACUCCGAAGAUAUUUGAGUUUGAGAUCAAAAAAUGAAAAUGAGACGAUAGACCAGAAUUUCUCCUUUCACUUCCUGAUUUUAACAUCUGUUAAACAACUUAGAACGUGGCAACUUUGGUAGCAGACCACCCAAUUUUUAGGUGUGCAAACAUAUAAAAACAGAUAGCCUGAAAGUAAAUUAAAGUACAUAACACUUAAUAUUUGGUUGCAUACCCCUAGCUUGCAAUAACUGCAUCAAGCCGCUGACCCACUGACAUCACCAAACUGUUGCGUUCUUCUUUUGUGAUGCUUUUCCAGGCUUUUACUGCAGUUAUUGUUGUUGUUUUUUGUUUGGAGGGUUUCUCCCUUCAGUCUUCUCUUCAGGAGAUAAAACGCUGCUCAAUUGGGUUAAGGUCUGGUGAUUGACUUGGCCAGUAUAAAACCUUCCACUUUUUCUCGUUGAUGAAGUCCUUUGAUGUGUUGGUAGUGUCUCUGAAUCAUUGUCUUACUUCAUGAUGAAGUUCCUCCUAUUUAGAUUGGAUGCAUUUCUCUGUAAACUAGCAGACAAAAUGUUCCUGUAAACUUCUGAAUUCAUUCUGCUGCUACUAUCAUCAAUAAAGAUUAGUGAGGCUGUUCCAGAAGCAGCCAUGACACUACCUCCACUGUGCUUGAAUGAUGAGCUUGUACAUUUUGGAUCAUGACCAGAUCCUUUUCUUUCUCCACACUUUGGCCUUUCCAUCACUUUGGUAGAGGUUAAUCUUGGUUCCAGAACUUUCGUGGUUCAUCUGUUUUUUUUGUUUGUUUUUUUUUUUAAAUUCCAAUCUGGCUUUCUGAUUCUUACUGCUGAUGAGUGAGUGGCCUCUAUAUUUAUUUAAGUCUUCUUUGACGGGUGGAUUGUGAUACCUUCAGCCCUGCCCUGUGGCAGUUGUUGGUGAUGUCACUGAAUGUUGUUGGUUUUUCUUCACAGCUCUCACAAUGUUUCCGUCAUCAAUUGUGGUUGUUUUUCUUAGCCAACCUGUUCCAUGUCUGAUUGUUACCAUGGGUGUUCUCUAAACUGUUAAUCAUCCAGGGCUGAGUGCAGAUUCUUCUCCAUCAAAAAAUACUUUUAAAAACAUACUUCUACAUAGAACGUUUUCAUGCAUCAAGGACUAAUUGCUUUAAAAAUGUGAAAAUUGGACAAAAAGUUGGAUUCAUCAUAAAACGUGCCUCAGGUGUCAUCACUGAUUGCAGGACUACCAGACCGAUAAAAUCUAAAACUUUCUGGCUAUCUAAUUCAAAACAUUUAGAUGUAAUUAUCAGAGAAUUAAAGCUGAAAUUCUUAUCUAUUGUCUCAUAUUCCUCUUUUGAUCUCACACCCAAAUGUCUUCCAUGUAUAGCAAAGUAAAAGAAUUAGGCUUGUUGUUCCAAUACUUUUGGAGGAGACUGUAUGAGUGACAGGUAAGAUGGUCAUGUGUAUACAAACCUUUGUUUUGUUUUGUUUUUUGUUUUGUUUUUUACAUAUGUGUGACUGCGAUGGAUUGUAUUCAGAGUGUAUUCCUACCUCACAUCCAAUGUCCCCAAGACAGGCUCCAGCUCCACCACAACCCUGACCAGCACGGAGCAGUUACAGAAGACUGAAGAUGAAAACAGAAAGUAAGAACACAGUUUGAUACCCAAUGCACUUCUUCUGCCACAAGAUGGCGCCAAACCAUCAAAUUCAGAUCCAAUUACAUCUUGCAAAGAAGUUCUUGGCAUGAAAUGGAAAAGCUAUAUUUAUUAUUUAUUAUUUUCCAAAUGAGUGAUACAGAGAUAUGCCUACACAAGAGGAUCUCUAACUCAAGGGUUGCAGCCAGGAAGCUGUUUUGUU